AACGAACGCUGGCGGCAUGCCUAACACAUGCAAGUCGAACGAGACCUUCGGGUCUAGUGGCGCAAGGGUGCGUAACGAGUGGGAAUCUGCACCUUGGUUAGGAAUAAGUGUUAGAAAUGACAGCUAAUACCGGCUGAUGACUUCGGAUCAAAGCUUUAUCGCCAAGGGAUGAGCCCGCGUAGGAUUAGGUAGUUGGUAGGGUAAAGGCCCACCAAGCCGACGAUCCUUAGCUGGUCUGAGAGGAUGAUCGGCCACACUGGGACUGAGACACGGCCCAGACUCCUACGGGAGGCAGCAGUGGGGAAUAUUGGACAAUGGGCGAAAGCCUGAUCCAGCAAUGCCGCGUGAGUGAUGAAGGUCUUAGGGUUGUAAAGCUCUUUUACCAGGGAAGAUAAUGACAGUACCUGGAGAAUAAGCUCCGGCUAACUCCGUGCCAGCCGCCGCGGUAA
rnacentral:rRNA from 1 species